rnacentral:pre_miRNA from 1 species
GAUAUACUCCCUCCGUCCCAAAAUACUUGUCUUCAAAAUAAAUGAAAAUAGAUGUAUCUACAACUAAAAUACAUCUAGAUACAUCCAUUUCAAUGACAAGUAUUUUCGGACGGAGGGAGUAGGAU